UCAUGGUCUUCCUUCCACAAUGGACCGCUAAAUCAUUAACACAAGAACCCUGACCUAACGUCCUAACCCAAACCUCCAUUCUCAUCGUCCCCAUGGCUUCCAAGGCAGCAAGGAAGGCAAUCUACCUCCAGAAGCUACGCAACCAUCUCAAAGACAAUAACAAACAUCUCGUCAUCGUGAGUGCCGACAAUCUUUGUGUGAACCAAAUUCAGGCCAUAAGGCAAGGACUCCGACCCCACUCAUCUGUCGUCAUGGGUAAGAAUUCUUUCAUGAGGCGCUCACUCGAGAUCCAUGCCCCAUCUGCCGGAAAACCCGCUUUUGUUGGCGCAGUUCCUCAUAUUAACGGCAAAGUGGGGUUGAUUUUGACCGAUUGUGACCCGGAGGAAGUUAGUGAAAGUGUUGCGGGAUAUAAGUUGCAGCCGCUGGUGUGUUCGUCGAUGGAUAUUGGGAUGUGUUCUCUUUGGCAGUGGUUGCUGGGUUUUCAUAUGAGUUUGCUCAGUAAGUGAAAUGGCUUUUGAAAAGUUGAAAGCGAUUUUUGGAAUAAGAAGAUGGGUGAUUAAGAGGGUGGCUGGCUAUUUAUUUAAUGGAGCAUAAGAGGAGACAUGGACCAAAGGGAUUGAACGGAAGCUCUCAACACUACACGGGAGUGUGAUGCAUCGGCUACUUGGUGUGAAGUUACUGGAGAGAGUCCUUUUGAUCUCCAUUGGCCUGCUAAUCGUGUUCAACAAGCUUGCCACACAUUUGGUUCAUUUUAUUCCAUAUGUAAUGUCAAGAUCUUCAAAGCGACACUCGCGAAGGAGAAAACAUAGGUUUUUUCAUGGUCUCAACAGAAGGGAAUGAAUUGCUGAUCCUUAAGUAUGUUCCUGUGUAUUAAAUGUUAUGUUUUACAGAUGAAAGUCGACCAUGAAUCUUAGAAAGUGGUUUAGAAUUACAUCUCUUUUGUGGAACUGCUUCUGAUCCAGAGGAAAUGAGUGAAACUGUUUCGGGAUAGAAACUGCAGCCGCUCGUGUGUUCUUAGAUGGAUAUUGCCUAUUGGGAUGUGUUCUCUGUGGCAGUGGUUGCUGGGUUUUCAUUUGAAUUUAAUCAGUAAAUGAUGUGGAUUUGAAAUGUUGAAGCUGUUUUUUAGAAGGAAAAUUGGUAUUUAAUAAAAUAACCUUUAACUAGUUGGUAAAUAAUAAUCCAACCUACAGAAUUGGUAUAUAAUAAUCCUAUCUAUCAACAUGUUGGUACUCAAUGAACUUCCGUUAAUUUUUUUUAACUGAAGUUAGUUUUUAAAUUUUAUUUAUUACACAAACAGUCCAUGUAGUUGUAAUUUACCAGUUUUAACUAUUUUAUAAACCUCAAAUCGAGGAAAAGGAGGAUUUUUGAGUGGUUUUUUUGUUUUAUAAAAUAGUUAAAACUAGUAAAUUACAACUACAGGGACUAUUUGUGUUAUAAAUAAAACAUAAAAACUAACUUCAGUUAAAAAAAAAUUAACGAAAGUUCAUUGAGUACCAACAUGUUGAUAGGUGGGAUUAUUAUUUACCAAUUUUGAAGGUUGGAUUAUUAUUUACCAACUGGUUAAAGGUUGGUUUAUUAAAUACCAAUUUUCCUUUUUAGAAUAAGAAGAUUGAAGGAUGGUUAGUGUGUGGCUGGCUAUUUAUGUGAAUAAUUAUUUUAAAACCAAUGCAGUUAAGCAAACUUUUUUAUUACAAUUCAGUUUGAUUGGCCUUUUUAUUA